GACGAACGCUGGCGGCGCGCCUAACACAUGCAAGUCGAGCGAUGAAAUUUUAACCGCUCUCUUCGGAGAGAAGAUAAAAUGGAUUAGCGGCGGACGGGUGAGUAACACGUGAGAAACCUGCCUUUCACAAGGGGAUAGCCUCGGGAAACCGGGAUUAAUACCCUAUGACACAUUUCCUUCGCAUGGAAGAAAUGUUAAAACUCCGGUGGUGAAAGAUGGUCUCGCGCCUGAUUAGCUAGUUGGUGGGGUAACGGCCCACCAAGGCCAUGAUCAGUAACCGGCCUGAGAGGGUGAACGGUCACAGUGGAACUGAGACACGGUCCAAACUCCUACGGGAGGCAGCAGUGGGGAAUAUUGCACAAUGGAGGAAGCUCUGAUGCAGCGACGCCGCGUGAGCGAUGAAGGCUUUCGAGUCGUAAAGCUCUGUCCUAUGGGAAGAUAAUGACGGUACCAUAGGAGGAAGCCCCGGCUAACUACGUG
rnacentral:rRNA from 1 species